rnacentral:rRNA from 1 species
GACGAACGUUGGCGGCGUGCUUAAUACAUGCAAGUCAACUGAAGCAGUGGUAGCAAUAUCGCUGUGGAGGUGGCGCACGGGUGAGUAACACGUAGGUAAUCUGCCUUCAGGUCUGGCAUAACUCCGGGAAACCGGGGCUAAUAGCAGAUGAUGCAGCGGCUCGACAUCGAGACAGUUGUUAAAGCUAUGGCGCCUGAAGAUGAGCCUGCGUCUGAUUAGCUAGUUGGCGGGGUAACGGCCCACCAAGGCAACGAUCAGUAGCUGGUCCGAGAGGAUGAUCAGCCACACUGGAACUGAGACACGGUCCAGACUCCUACGGGAGGCAGCAGUAAGGAAUAUUGCUCAAUGGGAGAAAUCCUGAAGCAGCAACGCCGCGUGAGGGACGAAGGGCUUUUGCUUGUAAACCUCUGUAGUGAGAGAAAAAAAUCCCAAUCUUUGGGACAUGAUGGUAGCUCAAAAGUAAGCCCCGGCUAACUACGUG